CUCUAGGAUGUGCUCAUUGCAUGGGCUGUGUAUAUUAUUAUUCAAUACCCAGAGCGUGCAGUGUGAACAUUAAAUAGAGAUU
ensembl:miRNA MIR1912 microRNA 1912